UUGAGACCCCUGGUCUAGGGGUAUGAUUCUCGCUUUGGGUGCAAGAGGUUCUGGGUUCAAAUCCUGGAUUAAA